GAGGCCGGUAACCCAGAUGGACACGGCGGUGACGACUCAGUCCAGAAGCAUCACAAUAGGUCUUGUCACAGAUUUUUGGCCAGGGCCAGGUUUGAACCGGCCACCUCCGGUGUAUGGGGCCGGCACUCUACUCACUGAGCCACAGUUCUUACCUGAAAGCAGACCUUCUCUGUUUGGGGGAUGGAGAUAUACUCUCCACUGUUCCUCUUCUUGUUCAAGUUUGCUGAUCAAAUCUGGUUUAUGCAGAAAGAUUCUGGCUGGAGAAUGCAAG